UACGUAGGGAGCAAGCGUUGUCCGGAUUUAUUGGGCGUAAAGCGCACGCAGGCGGUCUGGUCAGUCUUUACUGACAGUGUCCGGCUCAACCGGGCAAGUGGUAGGGAAACUGCCAGACUUGAGGGCUUCAGAGGGAUGGGGAACUCCAGGUGGAGUGGUGAAAUGCGUAGAUAUCUGGAAGAACACUAAAGGCGAAGGCACCAUCCUGGGAAGCAUCUGACGCUCAGGUGCGAAAGCUAGGGGAGCGAACGGGAUUAGAUACCCCGGUAGUCCUAGCCGUAAACGAUGACCACUAGACGUUGGGGGUAUCGACCCCUUCAGUGUCGCAGUUAACACAAUAAGUGGUCCGCCUGGGGAGUACGGUCGCAAGAUUAAA
rnacentral:rRNA from 1 species